UGGACCAGUGAUGAGAUUGGAGGGUGUCUGAAUCAAACAUUUUGGUUAAAGUGAUAUCUAACUCUGAGGUCCAU
ensembl:snoRNA